CAGGAAAGGAACUCACAGAUGAA
rnacentral:piRNA from 1 species